rnacentral:rRNA from 1 species
GAUGAACGCUAGCUAUAGGCUUAACACAUGCAAGUCGAGGGGAAACGGCAGAGAGUGCUUGCACACUUUGGACGUCGACCGGCGCACGGGUGAGUAACGCGUAUCCAACCUGCCCUUUACUUGGGGAUAACCCGUUGAAAGACGGACUAAUACCCAAUGAUAUUCAUUGAUGACAUCUGAUUUGAAUUAAAGAUUUAUCGGUAUAGGAUGGGGAUGCGUCUGAUUAGCUUGUUGGUGAGGUAACGGCUCACCAAGGCCACGAUCAGUAGGGGUUCUGAGAGGAAGGUCCCCCACAUUGGAACUGAGACACGGUCCAAACUCCUACGGGUGGCUG